UACAGAUGGUUGUGAGCCACCAUGUGGUUGCUGGGAAUUGGACUCAGGACCCCUGGAAGUGCUCUUAACUGCUGAGCC
rnacentral:miRNA from 1 species